rnacentral:rRNA from 1 species
AUUGAACGCUAGCGGGAUGCCUUACACAUGCAAGUCGAACGGAGUGGCGAACGGGUGAGUAAUGUAUCGGAACGUGCCCAGUAGCGGGGGAUCACUACGCGAAAGCGUCGCUAAUACCGCAUACUCUUGGAGCGGCCGAUAUCGGAUUAGCUAGUUGGAGCGGUAACGGCUAAUCAAGGCGACGAUCCGUAGCUGGUUUGAGAGGACUACCAGCGACAGUGGGACUUGGACACGGCCCAGACUCCUACGUGAGGCAGCAGUGGUGAAGUUUGGACCAUGGGGGAAACCCUGAUCCAGCCAUCCCGCGUGUGCGAUGAAGGCCUUCGGGUUGUAAAGCACUUUUGGCAGGAAAGCGGUACCUGCAGAAUAAGCACUGGCUAACUACGUGCCAGCAGCCGCGGUAAUUC